ACCAGACUCCUACGGGAGGCAGCAGUGAGGAAUAUUGGUCAAUGGGAGGAAUCCUGAACCAGCCAUGCCGCGUGCAGGACGACGGCUCUACGAGUUGUAAACUGCUUUUGUACCGGGGUAAAAUGCCUUACGAGUAGGGUUUUGAAAGUACGGUACGGAUAAGGAUCGGCUAACUCCGUGCCAGCAGCCGCGGUAAUACGGAGGAUCCGAGCGUUAUCCGGAUUCAUUGGGUUUAAAGGGUGCGUAGGUUGUUUUAUAAGUUAGCGGUGAAAUACCGAUGCUCAACAUCGGGGCUGCCGCUAAUACUGUAGGACUAGAGAUCGGAUGCAGCAGGCGGAAUGUGUAGUGUAGCGGUGAAAUGCAUAGAUAUCACGCAGAACCCCGAUUGCGAAGGCAGCCUUCCGGCGCCCUACUGACGCUGAGGCACGAAAGUGCGGGGAUCGAACAGGAUUAGAUACCCCAGUAGAG
rnacentral:rRNA from 1 species